rnacentral:lncRNA from 1 species
CUUGGAGCUUUUGUAUAUUUUUGAAAGAAAGUUAGCAUACCUUUUUAUCCUCAUAGGCUCUCUCAGAUCACUCAUUAUCUUUUAUAUAUCUCACUGAGGCUGUUUUAUUUUGCAAAAAUUCUCAAGCAUACUUACUUUGCAUUUAUUGCCUGAUCAAAACGGGAUCCGAGGAGGGGAAUGUCAUACUCUUAGAUCAAAGACUUUGGAAAUUAAAAUCUUUGUCAACUCUUGCUGGCAUAUUGCUUAUUAGAGGGACCAUGGGCUAUCAUUUUUCUCUCUUCUUUUUUUUUAAAUGGAUACUGAGGUACCCCUAAUUCUACUGCCGGACACUUGUCCAUUUUUUUUCUGCGAGGUUAUCGAGCACUUGCUCCUUUUUAUUUCCUCGAAAUAUCUCUAUUUUUGCAUAGCCCAUGCCUCUAAUGCAAUAAUACUUCGGAAGAGUGAAUCUUACUAAAAUAAUGUCUUGAUCUUGGGAGCAUGAUAAAUCUCUCAACAAGGGUCUAACUCAUUUUGAACAAACUCAAUACAGAGCAGAUAGCUUUUAUAAUCAUAAUUAAUAUUCAAUAUUUUUAGUUCUAUCAGGCAUAUAAAACACUGAGGAUGGUAGCUAGAAAUUUGAAUAUUUUGAAAUAAAUUCUCCAAGCAACAAUGAUAUCAAGAAUAAGAAACUCAUACUCUAUCAUCACAUAUUCCAAUUGACUUAAGUAACACAGGGUUUUAAAAUGAUUUUAUAAUAUUUGCAAGUUUUCAGGAAAUAUCAUAGAUUGAGAUUAAUCAUGAUUAGAAAUAUUUUAAUCCUUUUAUUUUAUCAUGUCGGAAACAGUAGUCUGCAUAAUCCAAAAUAAAUGUAUGUAUAAAGUAAAGUGUGCAGAGUGUGUACCUGAGUGGUGGAGUGGUGUAGUUGGAGUGUCAAGGGAUCUCCCCCAUACUUGUUUUCUGCUUUCUUGCACAAAAAUAAAGUAGAGACACACAAGACAUAAUAAUAAUACUCUUUAUUGAUCUUGAGGCAUUUAUUACAAAAGACUAGUAGCAAACUGAUGAUAAUAGUAAACUGAUGAUAAUAGCAAACCUAAACCGAAUUUAAAGAUAACUAAGAUGCAUUGCCUCAAGGUCUAAUCUAGAUAACUUAACGGCGCUCUAAUUCCUUGAUCUUCUUGUUGGCACUGGCAAGAUCCUGCCUAAGGCCUAGUAUAAUG